rnacentral:misc_RNA from 1 species
CCACGGGUUUAUUGCCUGUUGGUGCGACUUGGAAGUGGGCGUCUGCCGGUCAAACGGCUCGCCUUAAAGACGUUAGUGAGAACAAGUUCUUAUGGCUCGACGUAAUAAGUUUCGUCCGGUCCGGUCCUUGGGCUUGCUCACAACCCCCAAUACACUUUAUGUCUGACCUCAAAUCAGGUAGGGCUACCCGCUGAACUUAA